rnacentral:tRNA from 1 species
GGAAGCGUGCCCGAAAGAUUAGGGCCCCCCUUGAUGAGGGGGUCAUAGGGGUUUGAACCCCCUCACUUCCC